CCAAAGACAUAGUGGAACUUGAACUGAAGCAACUCGACUGUGAGAUCGUUAUUCGAAAGAAGGAAGCUUUACAGCAAGCUGUACCACCAGCUCCAGUUUAUCACUCGAUGCCUCCUCCAAUGACAGACCUUUCAAUGCCUCCAGCUCAACCAGUGGCUCCUCCUCCUUCUCCGACUCCUUCCUCAACCCCUGCAACAGCAAAACCAACAACCGCCCCAUCCUCAUCUCAUCCUCCACUCAAGAGUCCUAUGGCUGGUACUUUCUACAGAUCUCCUGGACCUGGUGAACCACCUUUUGUCAAGGUACAACAGGAUGCACAAAUAAAACCUAACAAAUCUUUGGUUGUUGGAUGAAGUCGAAUCAAAGUUUUUGAUAGUUCUUUGUCCAUAUAAAUCAUCGAGUGAAAGUCACUACAUUUUAAGUUGAUGUGGUUUUUUUGUUUGUUUGCACAUUGCAGGUUGGAGACAAGGUGCAGAAAGGUCAAGUUGUUUGCAUUAUCGAAGCUAUGAAACUGAUGAACGAGAUUGAGGUCUGAUAUUCUUUAUAACAUUACGAUAGCGUGCAAUGGAACUUUGCGAAUUUUGAUGAUCCUUUCAAUAUCUAUGUGUUUAUAUAUGUUUGUGUGAUCAAUUAUCAAUUAUUUGCGAGCUCUCAAAGUCUUUAACCUAAGAAAUGGUGUCUUGAAAAUAGGCUGAGAAGUCAGGAACCAUCACUGAAUUACUGGCUGAAGAUGGAAAACCAGUUAGCAUUGACACGGUAUCGAUCUCAUAAUCUCUCGCUCUCUGUUUUAUUUCCGGUUUUCUUAUUUGAACUGAUUUUCAGAUCAUUAACUUAUGGUUACUUGUACAACAAACU
rnacentral:lncRNA from 1 species